GACGAACGCUGGCGGCGUGCCUAACACAUGCAAGUCGAGCGGGGUCCAUCCAGUGGCAACACUGGGGAAGACCUAGCGGCGAACGGGUGAGUAACACGUGAGAAACCUGCCCUGAAGUCUGGGAUAACCCGAGGAAACUCGAGCUAAUACCGGAUGCCCCCACCGAGUCGCAUGGCUUGGUGAGGAAAGAUUCAUCGCUUCAGGAGGGUCUCGCGGCCUAUCAGCUAGUUGGCGGGGUAAGGCCCACCAAGGCAUCGACGGGUAGCUGGUCUGAGAGGACGAUCAGCCACACUGGGACUGAGACACGGCCCAGACUCCUACGGGAGGCAGCAGUGGGGAAUAUUGCGCAAUGGGCGAAAGCCUGACGCAGCAACGCCGCGUGCGGGAUGACGGCCU
rnacentral:rRNA from 1 species